GGUGUGUAUGUGGACACUUGAAGCCAUGCUGCUGAGGAGAAAUGCUAACAUGGUUCUGAGACAACACAACAGGUGAUCCUGUGCUUACACACCCAUCCACCAUACUGCAUGCUGUGUUUUCUUCAUGGAUCUGCUGAGAUUGUGUGAUUGCAUAUAGAACCUGGCUCCAUACAGUGUCACUAUUGUUCUGGCCCUUUUUUUCCCCACAUGAGUUUUUAUGCUUGGCAUAUCUUGGCAUUGUGAACCCAAGGUUUGCUAAAGAAGGGCUCAAUUUACCUCUGAUUUACCCCUAUAAAUCAACUAAUAAACCAUUGUAA